rnacentral:rRNA from 1 species
CUGCCGUCUACUCUUGGACAGCCUUCUGAAAGGAAGAUUAAUACAAGAUGGCAUCAUGAGUCCGCAUGUUCACAUGAUUAAAGGUAUUCCGGUAGACGAUGGGGAUGCGUUCCAUUAGAUAGUAGGCGGGGUAACGGCCCACCUAGUCUUCGAUGGAUAGGGGUUCUGAGAGGAAGGUCCCCCACAUUGGAACUGAGACACGGUCCAAACUCCUACGGGAGGCAGCAGUGAGGAAUAUUGGUCAAUGGGCGAGAGCCUGAACCAGCCAAGUAGCGUGAAGGAUGACUGCCCUAUGGGUUGUAAACUUCUUUUAUAAAGGAAUAAAGUCGGGUAUGCAUACCCGUUUGCAUGUACUUUAUGAAUAAGGAUCGGCUAACUCCGUGCCAGCAGCCGCGGUAAUACGGAGGAUCCGAGCGUUAUCCGGAUUUAUUGGGUUUAAAGGGAGCGUAGAUGGAUGUUUAAGUCAGUUGUGAAAGUUUGCGGCUCAACCGUAAAAUUGCAGUUGAUACUGGAUAUCUUGAGUGCAGUUGAGGCAGGCGGAAUUCGUGGUGUAGCGGUAAAAUGCUCUACAUAUCACGAAGAACUCCGAUUGCGAAGGCAGCCUGCUAAGCUGCAACUGACAUUGA